rnacentral:rRNA from 1 species
GAUGAACGCUGGCGGCGUGCCUAAUACAUGCAAGUCGAGCGAACAGACGAGGAGCUUGCUCCUCUGACGUUAGCGGCGGACGGGUGAGUAACACGUGGAUAACCUACCUAUAAGACUGGGAUAACUUCGGGAAACCGGAGCUAAUACCGGAUAAUAUAUUGAACCGCAUGGUUCAAUAGUGAAAGACGGUUUUGCUGUCACUUAUAGAUGGAUCCGCGCCGCAUUAGCUAGUUGGUAAGGUAACGGCUUACCAAGGCGACGAUGCGUAGCCGACCUGAGAGGGUGAUCGGCCACACUGGAACUGAGACACGGUCCAGACUCCUACGGGAGGCAGCAGUAGGGAAUCUUCCGCAAUGGGCGAAAGCCUGACGGAGCAACGCCGCGUGAGUGAUGAAGGUCUUCGGAUCGUAAAACUCUGUUAUUAGGGAAGAACAAAUGUGUAAGUAACUAUGCACGUCUCGACGGUACCUAAUCAGAAAGCCACGGCUAACUACGUG